rnacentral:rRNA from 1 species
UACGUAGGGGGCAAGCGUUGUCCGGAAUCAUUGGGCGUAAAGAGCGUGUAGGCGGCUUGGUAAGUCCGCUGUGAAAGUCCAGGGCUCAACCCUGGAAUGCCGGUGGAAACUGUCAAGCUUGAGUCCGGAAGAGGCGAGUGGAAUUCCUGGUGUAGCGGUGAAAUGCGCAGAUAUCAGGAGGAACACCAAUGGCGAAGGCAGUGUCCUGGGGAGUACCUGACGCUCAGGUGCGAAAGCCAGGGGAGCGAACGGG